AUCCUGCCUGUUUACCAAAAACAUCACCUCUAGCAUUACCAGUAUUAGAGGCACUGCCUGCCCAGUGACAUAUGUUCAACGGCCGCAGUAUCCUGACCAUGUAAGGUAGCAUAAUCACUUGUUCCCUAAAUAGGGACUUGUAUGAAUGGCCACGCGAGGGU
rnacentral:sRNA from 1 species